rnacentral:rRNA from 1 species
UACGUAGGGUGCGAGCGUUGUCCGGAAUUAUUGGGCGUAAAGGGCUCGUAGGCGGUUUGUCGCGUCGGGAGUGAAAACACCGGGCUUAACUCGGUGCUUGCUUUCGAUACGGGCAGACUAGAGGCAUGCAGGGGAGAACGGAAUUCCUGGUGUAGCGGUGAAAUGCGCAGAUAUCAGGAGGAACACCGGUGGCGAAGGCGGGACUCUGGGCCGAUACUGACGCUGAGGAGCGAAAGCGUGGGGAGCAAACAGG